rnacentral:rRNA from 1 species
CCUACGGGUGGCAGCAGUGAGGAAUAUUGGUCAAUGGACGCAAGUCUGAACCAGCCAUGCCGCGUGCAGGAAGACGGCUCUAUGAGUUGUAAACUGCUUUUGUACGAGGGUAAACGCAGAUACGCGUAUCUGUCUGAAAGUAUCGUAAGAAUAAGGAUCGGCUAACUCCGUGCCAGCAGCCGCGGUAAUACGGCGGAUUCAAGCGUUAUACGGAUUGGUUGGGUGUAAAGGGUGCGUAGGCGGUCGGAUAAGUUAGAGGUGAAAUCCCGAGGCUCAACUUCGGAAUUGCCUCUGAUACUGUCGGGCUAGAGUUUAGUUGCGGUAGGCGGAAUGUAUGGUGUAGCGGUGAAAUGCAUAGAGAUCAUACAGAACACCGAUUGCGAAGGCAGCUUACCAAACUACGACUGACGUUGAGGCACGAAAGCGUGGGGAGCAAACAGGAUUAGAUACCCGUGUAGUC